ACAUAUUUCCUAAACAAUAAAUAAAAUGAAGAAAAAUAAGGAAAAAAGUUUUGCAAACCUGUGUGAUAUGAAGAUUAAAGCACUUCAAGCAAUAUAAAAGUUUUAGGAAGCAUUGAAAAAAUUACAGAAUAUAUAACAAUAAUGCAUGCAUUAGUGUAUGUUGAAUUACAUUAAGCGAUGCAGAUUGGAUUAAUUCCAAUUUUAAUCAGAAUUAAAUAAAA
rnacentral:misc_RNA from 1 species